rnacentral:lncRNA from 1 species
GGGCUUGAAUUCACUGCUCUCCAGGAAAAACAUGUAAGCGCAGAGAAUGAGGCUUCUUCACAGUUAACAGCUCUAGAGGUGCAGGUUAAAAAUUUGAAGCAAGAGUUGGAUUCCUUACAGACCCAGAGAAACGAACUGGAGUUGCACCUCGAGAGAGAGAAACAAGAAUCAUCAGAAAGACUCUCUGAAAUGGAGAAUCAGAAGUUGGAGAAUGGUCAGUUAAGGGAGGAAAAGGUGGGGUUGCAGGGUCAAAUCUUAGAAUUAGAGAAAACAUUGGCAGAAAGAGGGCUUGAGUUCACUGCUCUCCAGGAAAAACAUGCAAGCACAGAGAAUGAAACUUCUUCCCAAUUAACGGCCUUAGUGGUGCAGGUCAACAAUUUGCAGCAGGAAUUGGAUUCCUUACAGACCCAGAGAAACGAACUGGAGUUGCACCUCGAGAGAGAGAAACAAGAAUCAUCAGAAAGACUGACUGAAAUGGAGAACCAGAAAUCUGAGCUGGAAAGCCAAAUUAACAAUCAGCAGAGAAUGCUAGAAGAACAGGGGGAGGCGCAUAAGAAGUUGGCCG